rnacentral:tRNA from 1 species
UCCGUCGUGGUGUAGUGGCUAGCAUUUGAGACUCUCAUCUUUGAGAACUCUCAGAACCCGGGUUCAAUUCCCGGCGACGGAA